AACUCGCUUGGAGCAAAUUGCAGCAUUAAAGCUUCAUCUCAYUGGAGCUGCAGGAUUUCAACUGCCUGUUCAGCUUUGACACGAGCCCUUCAGAUCUGAAGCUGCACCUGCUCCUAAGAUGCAGACUUUCCACCACACGCUGGUUUUGCUAAUGUAGGCUCCUCAAGAGUGAASCCUGGAGUGAUCCUGGGGGAGUAAAAUGCCGCAGAGAAACCUCCACUUGCAAAACUCCUGCCACUGCUUGCACAGAUAUCAGCUUGUGCCUUACCGAUGGUGAACAUUGCAACCACGACUAUGAAUUAGGAUCUUCCCCCCAGGAUGUUCCUAAGCUGGUACCCAGCACCUGGAAGGAGAGACUGCGCAGUGUUUCAAGAGUUUUCCUUAAUCCUACGYGGGAAUACGUGAAGGCUCAAACUGCUGUAGACCAGAUGCACCCAGCAAAG
rnacentral:lncRNA from 1 species